rnacentral:tRNA from 1 species
GAGGGUAUAGCUCAGUGGUAGAGCACAUGCUUAGCAUGCACGAGGGAGGUCCUGGGUUCAGUCCCCAGUACCUGCA